GCUUUGGGUUCCUUUGGAUUCUCUAGUACUGAACUCUUACCUCGCUCCUCCCUCAGGGCCCAGACUAGGUGACAACAUUUGAGUGAAGGAGAAUAUUGGGGGGAGGUGAGUGCAAUGAAGAAAACAAUAACGGGGGAGUGACUUUCUCACCCGCGUGAGCCAGUGAUGACAGUGGCCACAGGCUAACAUCAUACAGGUCAGGCUACCACUCUUGAGCGCAGUUAAUUACGCCCACGCACUUACCCCUAGUUGUUGUUCCUUGUUGGAAUCUACCACUUUCGUUGGAAAGAAGAUUCUACAUUAUUACUCUGCCUUCUUUGACCCUUCAGCCACCUCAAGGGAACAGUAGGAUCAACUGCCCAGCUUCUGAUGAGACACUCAUAGCCUGCCAUGGUCUUACACACCGGGGUUGACAUUUGUCUUUAAACAGUACAUCAAAGGCGUGGUCACUUGCAGUCACUUGUUUUACAAGAGAGCAGCCUGCAAAACUCCUAGACCAGGGCUUUCCAAAGACUUCGGUUCACCAACCACACGAGGGAACCAUCAUAAUAUUUGUGAAGAUACUUGCUCCUAAUGCUGAGCAGAUGCACAUCGUUAAUCACUUGAAAGAGAGCCCAACAGAAGGGAAGAGAACUGUGGGGGAGGAAAGUGCCAGGAGAGCCCUUGGGGACGCACACGUCGUGGCAGAUCUAAACUUCAGCGUGCUUGACGCUGUCAGUAACCUGAUGGUUUUGGGGUGGCCCAGAACUGCGCACUUAACAGUUCUGUAAAGGACACUUCCAAGCUUUCCACGGUGCUAGGAAACCCAACAGCUGGCCCGGCAUUUCCCUGUGCUGACAGCUGACACCUCCCUGCCUGUGGAGUCACACUGGGUCAGGAUAACAUUGUGGAUGGUGGGGAAGAGGAUGGAAAGCUUCCUGCCGGGUUUGUUGAUGCAGGUGCAGCCACCGCUGCGCAGAAGCCCAGACGCAAACACAGCCUCGGGGAUGUGAGGGAAUCCUGCCCGGAUACUACCAACGAAAUGGUGCAGACGUGCGCCGUCACAGCACGGCCCCUCGCUUGACAAUUGUGAUGGAAUAGGAAAAGUGGUGGGGGGUGUCUUAUAGUGCACUUGAAAGGCAACACUUUAUAGUACAUAGAAUGAAUUGUUCAAGUAAAAAUAUUUUAGCUCCAUCCAGCCCAAUUACAAAUUCUGUCACUUGAUGAUAGGUACUCUCGAUCUUGACUCAAAGAUGAAAUACUCACCAUUGAAUUAUUCAGAUAUCCAUGGUUUCUAGACAAACACGUUGUUGUUUUUAUUUUUCAUUUAUUUAUUUUUUUAUUUUUCAUUUUCUAAAGUCAGAAGCUAUACUCUCAUGCCAUGUUUCAAACAGAUGGGCAUCGGGCUAUUCCAAAGGCUUUUUCCUGAACCUCCAGCUUCACUUCUACAUGGGCACCAACUGUAACUGGGGUGGGUUGACUUGUUUUUAGCAAUAAUUCCAACAAAAAGCAGGGGAAUUUUUAAAAGUGAGACGAUGAGGAUAUCUGAGUGUUGAUAUCUGCAUUAACAGCUGAACUAGUGACUAAGUCUAAAUUUUCAAAAUUUCUGUGAAGGUAUUUAUUCUUUUCUGUGCGGUUCAGAUAAAGCCAUGACACUCUAAGCAUCACACAUUCUUUUGAUGUGCUCUGCAGCUGUCAACUGCUGGGUGCCCAGGGUUUUAUCAGAAGCCAGAGCAGCGGCUUCUGAAACACUCUCCUGCUUUGAAUGUCUUUUGAAUGAUCGCUUUCUGUGAACUAUCACGAUGCUAUUUUUUUUAAAAUGUAGGGUAAGAGAGAAGAGCAACAGUGGAGAAAUUUCACUAAUGAGUAAUUACUGCAGUGCUGCAGAGAGGUUUCACACUGUUGGGUAGAGUGCCACCACGUGUGCAUGCACACACGCCUGUGCCUGCACACAUGUGUGCACCUCUGCUGGGGGAAGGCGGUGCAUUUUGUUGUGACUUUGCUCCUAUGCUCAGUUUCCUGUAGCUGUGCUUUGUGGAGGGAAAUCCUGCCAGAAUUGACAAGGAAGCUGCAUUUCUGCAGUUCCACAGGCCCUUUCUUGUCACAGAUCGUAUUCUUCCAGGAAGAACUGGAAGCUAUUGAUUCCACUUAGGAGGGUUUGCAUGCACUGGGCUCCCUGGUCCCUGAGCCCAGCUCAGCCUCCAGAAGCUCACAUCCCCACCAGGGAGGAAUGAAGGAAGCACAGCUGGCCCAGAAGAGGUGCGGAUCACUUCCUUUGUCCUCUUUACUUCUUUGGCUUGUCUCUCACUCGCUCUAGAUUGUAAGCUCCUGGUUGUAAGAGUUCUUGCCUGUUUUGUUCACUGCUGUACCACCUGCACCAAGAACAUCUUCUGGCACCUAUUAAGCCUUCAGUACACAUUUGUUGAAUUGAAUUGACUCCUCCCAUUUACUCUUCAUCCCCAAAGAGGUUCCCCUGCAUAAACUGUCAUGGACCUUAUGGUGGCCCCAGUUUUCAUAGGGGACUUACCUAUCUGUGAUAUCUUUUUUAGACAGGAACUCCAAGUAAAGUUGUUACAAAAUAUACUAUAUAAAAAUUCCUUUUAAACUCACAUAUUCUCUGAGUUCUUUUGGUGCACACCUGAAAGUGUACAUGGUCUUGAGAUCCCCCAAACAUAGACUAGCACUAGGGCCCCUCAGAGCUGGCAAAGGUGUGUCUGAUGACUCAGGCAUUUUGGCUCAAGGCUGUGGAUGUGUGCUCAGGUUGCAGAAAUACAGAGGGGGCUGGAAUUAACCUCUCCCUGUGGGUAGAGCCUUUGUCCCCGUCUCCCAGUGGGUUUUCUCCCUGGUGGUCUGGCCUGAUCCGUGUGGAGGCCUCAUUUGCCUGCACACUGGGCCUGUCACCUUAACAGGGGGCUGAGCUGCGUCUUUGUUGCUGUCCCCGAGGAAAGGGAAGGGGCAAAGCAAGCAUUUGCCGCAGUGCCUAGACAUCAGACCAGAGGUGCCGGAGCCCCGUCUUGGGCUUUCUCAGGGUCAGGUGGCUUUCAGGCAGUCCUACUUGCCCAGCCUCAUGGAAGGAAGAGGCAGGGGGCUCAGCUUCCACUCUCCCAUUCCAUCCAGAGGCCCCCCCUAGCUCUGUGGCUCACAAGUGCCCUAGCUUUCGACCCUCAGAGGAAGAAAUCAUCUAGGAAAGAAUGUGGGAAGCCAAUCUCUUCCUCCCGCUCCUUCUCUAUUUUUUUAUGUGGUAAGUUGUGGGUGGAUGAUUCUCAGGGCUGUCAGCAAAGAGAGCCCUUCAGCUCUCUCUGCAGACCCAUAUUCCCCCAUAUUUUCUCCUGCCUUCAGUUAACCCAGUGGGCACAAUAGCCAGUGUCAAGGUCACCUGUUGUCCCCCUCAGGAGAGAAUGUCUUUACCAACCACUGCUGUUGGUCCAAAGCAACCUUCAGGGGCGUUAACAAACUAAGUCAUACUAAAUUUUUUCAGAGUUUAGUUGAGCAAAAAUCGAUUUGAAUCACGUAGCACCCCAUCUAGCAGGUAGAAAGGGUCUCCAAGGAGCUGUACAAAAUGAAAGACUUUUAUAGGCAGAAGGGAGCCAGACCAAGGAAAUUACAUUAGGCGAAAAAGUGGAUUGGUUUUUGCAAGGUUACUUGUCUUUAGUGGGUGGCAGGGGUCUGUCAGGCAGAUUACCUAACUAGUGCUGAUCAGAGAUUCCUGAUGGAUUCGUUUAAGAUUCCACUUCUGGAAGAGCCAAAACUCUAAUUCAGUAAAGUCUCGAUUUGGUGGGUAUGAGCUUAGCAUAAGCAAGUCCAUUUUAAGUCUAUUGUCUUAUUUUUAACAGGGGAUAUCUGAGGAUAUUAUUAAAGGCCCUCAGAUCUUGCCCGUAGAAACUUCUGAAAUGUAUCAAGGCAGGAUAAUUAAAUUUAAUCUCAAGGUCACAAUAGAAACCACCUCUUCUGUCUCCUCUUUUAUCGACCUUAAACUUCAUCAGUGUUAACAUGAUGUGUCCUAUGGAACAGCAUAAUCUAGGUAAUACAGAGCCAGCAACAGAAAAUUCUGCACAUUUCUAGGUACUGCUUUUGCCAUAGUCUACAAAUUUUGAUGUGUGGUAUUUUUAUUAUUGGUUAGUUCUAAAUGUUUUAUAAUUUUCACUAUAAUUUCUUCUGGGACCCAAGAGUUAUUUAGAGGAAUGUUUAUUUCUAAACACUUCAGGCUUUUCUAAUUAUCUUUUUUUGUAUUGACUUUUAACUUGAUUGAAUUGUGAUUAGACAAAAUCUGGAUAAUCCAGUGCAUUGAAAAGUUGAGACUUGCUUUAUGCCUAAGUAUAGGAUCCAUUUUUGUAAAUGUUCUGUAAGGUUUUUAGAAGAUUGUAAUUUCUCUUGUUGAGUUUUCUAUAUGUCCAUCAAAUAAGAUUUGUUGAUUGUAUUUAAUCUUAUAUAAUCUAUUUGGUUUUGGUUUUCUUGAAAUAUAAAUUACUAAGGGGGAAAUGUUAAAAUUCUCUCAGUAUGGUGUUGAAUUUAUCUGUUUCUCCUUGCAGCCUAAUAGUAUUUAGAUGCAUAUAGGUUUAGAAUUAGUUUAGUUACCUAGCGAUUUGAAUUUAAAAUCUUCUUUUCAAGUAAUGCUUUUUUGCUUAAAUUCUUUUAUUUCUAAUAUUGACAUUUAUUUAUUCUAGCUUUCUUUUGUUAAUAUUCCAUCCACAUUCCCCCACCUUUUUUUACUUUAAACUUUUCUGCACCCUUACGUGUCUUGAAUAAAGUAUAUAACUGAAGUUUUUAAAUGACUUCUGAUAACACCAAAAGUAGGAACAAAAAUUUGUUUUUUAAAUGGUAAAAAAUGGACUUGGUCAAAAUUUAAAACUUCUGCUCUCCAAAGAGAUCGUUAAAAACAUAAAAAGACAAGCCACAGACUGAGAGAUAAUAUUUGUAAAGAAUAUAUCUGUUAAAGAACUUAUGGCCAGAAUGUAAAAUGAACUCUUACAACUCAAUGAGAAGACAAUCUAAUUAAAAUAAUAGGCAGAAAUGGGCAAGAAUUAGUCAUUAGGGAAAUGCAAAUGAAAACUCUAAUGAGAUAUCAUUAUACACUCACUCGACUGGCUGAAAUUAAAAAGACUGAGAAUUCUAAGAGUUGGUGAGGAUAAUGAGAAAUGGGAAUCACCUCACAUUGCUGGUAGAA